rnacentral:tRNA from 1 species
UCUCUGAUGGUUCAGACUGUAAAGCAUCUGCCUGCAAAGUGGGCGACCCAGGUUUGAUCCCUGGUUCGGGAA